rnacentral:rRNA from 1 species
AGAGUUUGAUCCUGGCUCAGGAUGAACGCUGGCGGUAUGCCUAACACAUGCAAGUCGAACGAUGUCUUCGGACAUAGUGGCGGACGGGUGAGUAACGCGUGAGAAUCUGCCUCUAGGAUGGGGAUAACGGUUGGAAACGACCGCUAACACCCAAUAUGCCGUAAGGUGAAAAAUUUAUUGCCUGGAGAGGUGCUCGCGUCUGAUUAGCUAGUUGGUGGGGUAAGAGCUCACCAAGGCUUCGAUCAGUAGCUGGUCUGAGAGGAUGAGCAGCCACACUGGGACUGAGACACGGCCCAGACUCCUACGGGAGGCAGCAGUGGGGAAUUUUCCGCAAUGGGCGAAAGCCUGACGGAGCAAUACCGCGUGAGGGAGGAAUGCCUUUGGGUUGUAAACCUCUUUUCUCAGGGAAGAAGAUCUGACGGUACCUGAGGAAUAAGUAUCGGCUAACUCCGUGCCAGCAGCCGCGGUAAUACGGAGGAUGCAAGCGUUAUCCGGAAUCAUUGGGCGUAAAGCGUCCGCAGGUGGUUUCCAAAGUCUGCUGUUAAAGACUGGAGCUCAACUCCGGAACGGCGGUGGAAACUUGGAAACUAGAGUUCGGUAGGGGUAGCAGGAAUUCCCAGUGUAGCGGUGAAAUGCGUAGAUAUUGGGAAGAACAUCGGUGGCGAAGGCGUGCUACUGGACCGUAACUGACACUCAGGGACGAAAGCUAGGGGAGCGAAAGGGAUUAGAUACCCCUGUAGUCCUAGCUGUAAACGAUGGAAACUAGGUGUGGCUUGUAUCGACCCGAGCCGUG